rnacentral:rRNA from 1 species
GACAGAGGGUGCAAACGUUGUUCGGAAUUACUGGGCGUAAAGCGCGUGUAGGCUGCUUCGCAAGUCGGAUGUGAAAGCCCUGGGCUCAACCCAGGAAGUGCAUUCGAAACUGCAGAGCUGGAGUCCUGGAGAGGAAGGCGGAAUUCUCGGUGUAGAGGUGAAAUUCGUAGAUAUCGAGAGGAACACCGGUGGCGAAGGCGGCCUUCUGGACAGUGACUGACGCUGAGACGCGAAAGCGUGGGGAGCAAACAGGAUUAGAUACCCUGGUAGUCCACGCCGUAAACGAUGGGUGCUAGGUGUUGCGGGCUUUGACCCCUGCAGUGCCGUAGCUAACGCAUUAAGCACCCCGCCUGGGGAGUACGGCCGCAAGGCUAAA